AUGUAAAGUCCCCAAGAAUCUUCCAGUAUCCAGAAAGGCCCAGUGAAAAUCUCGGCCCAAAGUGCAAGUCCAAAUGCAGUCCACUUCAUUAUAGGCCCAAUAUCAAUUAUCCGACUUAGACCAUUAUAUAUAUUGGAGCCUUGUUCAGAAACAAGCUCGAUGACUCCGAAAAACCUUGUUCAUUGUCUCUGAACCUUGUCGUCUUUAGCCGACUUUCUCUUCUACAAAUCAUUACUAUCAUCUCAGAAAGUCGAAAUCCUUGUUCCAACAUCCCCCCUCAAGUUGGAAGGAGGAGAAAAAAAACCCUAACUUGCCCAAAAUUAUAUGGUGUGUAGGACCAAAAAGGAGUUUUGUAAGGACGUCGGCGAUUUGGGAAAUUGAAGGGACGGAAGAGAGGGAAAUGAGCCCAACAAGGUAUUGCUAUCUCAAAAAAUGACAAUCGAGGUCGACAUAUUUGGUGUGUUUAUGAAAAACCGGAUUUUUGGCAAUGUGGAUGGCGGUUUGGCUAUCGGAAUGGAGGGAAACUGGAAGAGAAGGAGUGAGAGAGAGAGAGAGAUCUUUAAGUGAACGCAACAACCAGGUGAUCUCAGCGACAACCCAUCGCAUGGAUCGAUAUUCCGCCUCUGCAGAAGAUAAAGAGACUAAAGCAUGUUUCUUGGAUUUCCAAGACAUAGGAGAAGAACCUAAAGUUAUGAAAUACCCACUAAUCAACCGGCGAGUAACAGGGCAACGACCUCAAUCAGAACCACAAAAAACAAGGAGAUUGAAUGAGGAAGUGGAAGACAGAAAAAUGCCUAACCCAGGAUCAAUGAGUAAAUAAUGGAGACAACGAAGCUCAACAUCAAAGUGAGGAAGGCGAGGGGACUGCAUGAGUUGGCUGAGGUGUUGAACAAAAAAAGAUAAAUCAGGGCGAGUGUGGGUAAGAUAAUUGAUGGUGGCAUCCUGCAAAGGUUCACCUUCAUUGAUGCAAAGAUGAGAAGUAGGGUCAAGAGGAGAGGAGACAGGUUGAAGAUCCAAGCAACCAAACUCUGAUAAGAGAUCCAAGGUGAGUAUUUGCGACCAACUCCAUAAGGCUGUUGAGAUGCAACAUAAGCACUCUGAGAAGGAACAUGUUGAGAGAUCUACACUUGCCUUUAUUUCCCAUCCUUGAUCAAUAGGGAAUAAGCAUGAUUGCCUGAGGGUAUGGAGACAGCAUGAGUAGGCUGCUUCUAGCAGUGGCAUAGGCAUCAUUGAGCCCCAUGAGAAAUUAGAUAAGUCUCCCAUUUUGUUGAGACUUGCAGUGUCUCUUCUUUCCUCCACAUGAAGAAUCACAGUUGUUAGAGCUGGGGACCAUUGGUCUACCCAAAUCGCUCCUCAAAUUCAGUCAAAAUGUCCCUUGCAGUUUUGGAAUAAAGAACACUUUCUAAUAUUUCCUUAGAGAGAGAGAGUUCAAAACCAAAGAAAUGACCAUGUCAUUGCACCUUGUCCAUGGUUUAAAAGAAUCAGACGAGAUUUUGGGUUGAAGAAAGGAACCAUCAAUAAAUCCAAGUUUGUUUUUAGCUGACAAGGCAAUGACAAUACCCCUACGCCACCCACCAUAUCCCUUUCCAUCAAAAAUCGAGCUGACAAGCACCAUCCUAGGAGAGUCUGAUAGGUGGAGAUAGAAGGGGUGAGAUGAAUCGAGCAUGACUGUUGCUGCUGAAGAAUCAACAACCUAUGUCACCUGAGGAGUAAGAGUUACAGAAGCAGAAGCAUCUUCAACUGUAUCUCCCAUGGUGAAUAAUGAAGCAGAUGAAGAAGAAGCCUAAAAAAAAUGAAGCCAAAGGAUUAAACGUUAAAGCUCUAAUAUCAUAUCGGGAAGCAUGAUGUUAAAGAACAAUUGAGAAAAUUUUCUGUCUAUUGAAUGAAUUAUUCUCUGUA